rnacentral:rRNA from 1 species
GACAGAGGCCUCGAGCGUUAGGCGGAAUCACUGGGCUUAAAGCGUGUGUAGGCGGACCUCUAAGUACCUUGUGAAAUCCCACGGCUCACCCGUGGAACCGCUGGGUAUACUGGGGGUCUUGGGCCACUCAGGGGCGACUGGAACAAGCGGUGGAGCGGUGAAAUGCGUAGAGAUCGGGAAGAACGCCAAGGGCGAAGGCACUCUGCUAGGCCUGAUUUCGCGACUGACACUCAGGGACGAGAGCCAGGGGAGCGAAUGGG